rnacentral:lncRNA from 1 species
GGGCGCCUGUAAUCCCAGCUAGUCGGGAGGCUGAGGCAGGAGAAUUACUUGAACCUGGGAAGCGGAGGUUGCAGUGAGCUGAGAUCGUGCCAUUGCACUCCAGCCUGCGUGACAGAGAGAGCCUCUGUCUCAAAAAAAAAAAAAAAAAAAAAAAAAAGUGUAUGGGGACUAUCCGGUUGGAUUAUGUAGGAGACAGUUGGAUAAUCAGAGAUAAGUGACGGUUGUUGAAGAGAAUGCUCAGAAGGUGUUUGUAUGGUGAGAGGAGAAGAGGUACUGACUCUUGGAGACACGGCUACUCUAAUUGUGGUCAGGAGCAGCCAGAGAGGGAAGAGAAAUAACCAGGGAGAAUGUAAGUAACCAAAGUCAAGGGAUGAAAGAAUUCUGAGGAGGAUGAAGGGGUUAAGGGCAUCUGAUACACCACAGAUAGCAAGCUCUAUAAGGGCAAAAAAGAGCGCACUGAAUUUGGUCACUAAUGGAUAAAUGGUGAUUAAAACAGUUUCAGCUGCUUACAUGAGGUAACGCCCUGAUUGCAGUGCUUGAAAGAGGAGGUGGGUGAUGAAGACCUCCCGGCAGCCAGUUGAGAACACUGUAUUUAUGUUUCACUGUGAAGAACAAGAGAAAAGAUAGCCUAGAAGUUGGGAACACACAGGCCUAGGAAUGGCAGCUGCUUUCCACUUACGGAAGAGGUGAAGCAUGUUCAUAUGCUAUGUGGGAAAGGGUCACUGACUCUUGAAAAGAAUAUGAUAAAAGAGGAAGAAAGAAUGAAAGAAAGGAUAAAGAUGAAGGAAAGGGAAGGAAUAUUGACGGAACAAAGACCAAAAGAAUAGAAGGGAAGAUAGGAUCCCAGGACAGCACGGCAUGUGGAAGGGACAAAGGAAGAGAACAUUAAUCUUGAACACUAGAGAAGAAAGGGAGAGAGAUGGAUGAUCUCAGAGUAGUAGAAAACAGCCUUUUAAAUACCGUAAGAGCAUGGAAUCCUCAUAGAAGAAUGCAAACUCCUGGAGGGGUGAUCUGCUUGCCCAUUCGUUGUGAGAAAUUAACAUCCUUUUCCAGAAUGUCUGGACCUCAGGAGUGA